rnacentral:rRNA from 1 species
GGAAUCUUGCGCAAUGGUCGAACGACUGACGCAGCGACGCCGCGUGUGGGAUGACGCCUUUCGGGGUGUAAACCACUGUUGCCCGGGACGAACAGCGCUUUUCGAGGCGCCUGACGGUACCGGGUGAGGAAGCACCGGCUAACUCCGUGCCAGCAGCCGCGGUAAUACGGAGGGUGCGAGCGUUGUCCGGAAUCACUGGGCGUAAAGGGCGCGUAGGCGGCAGGGGAAGUCGGCGGUGAAAGCCCGGAGCUCAACUCCGGGUCGGCCGUCGAGACUCCUCAGCUCGAGCACUGUAGAGGCAGAUGGAAUUCCGGGUGUAGCGGUGGAAUGCGUAGAGAUCCGGAAGAACACCGGUGGCGAAGGCGGUCUGCUGGGCAGUAGCUGACGCUGAGGCGCGACAGCGUGGGGAGCAAA